rnacentral:rRNA from 1 species
CGAGCCUUCGGGCUAGUGGCGGACGGGUGAGUAACGCGUGGGAAUCUGCCCUCAGGAGGGGGAUAACGGCCGGAAACGGCCGCUAAUACCCCAUAUGCCGAGAGGUGAAAUGAAUUUCGCCUGAGGAUGAGCCCGCGUCUGAUUAGCUAGUUGGUGGGGUAAUGGCCCACCAAGGCGACGAUCAGUAGCUGGUCUGAGAGGAUGAUCAGCCACACUGGGACUGAGACACGGCCCAGACUCCUACGGGAGGCAGCAGUGGGGAAUUUUCCGCAAUGGGCGAAAGCCUGACGGAGCAACGCCGCGUGAGGGAUGAAGGCCUCUGGGCUGUAAACCUCUUUUCUCAAGGAAGAAGACAUGACGGUACUUGAGGAAUAAGCCACGGCUAAUUCCGUGCCAGCAGCCGCGGUAAUACGGGAGUGGCAAGCGUUAUCCGGAAUUAUUGGGCGUAAAGCGUCCGCAGGCGGCCUUGUAAGUCUGUCGUUAAAGCGUGGAGCUUAACUCCAUUUCAGCGAUGGAAACUACAAGGCUUGAGUGUGGUAGGGGCAGAGGGAAUUCCCGGUGUAGCGGUGAAAUGCGUAGAUAUCGGGAAGAACACCAGUGGCGAAGGCGCUCUGCUGGGCCAUAACUGACGCUCAUGGACGAAAGCCAGGGGAGCGAAAGGGAUUAGAUACCCCUGUAGUCCUGGCCGUAAACGAUGAACACUAGGUGUCGGGGGAAUCGACCCCCUCGGUGUCGUAGCUAACGCGUUAAGUGUUCCGCCUGGGGAGUACGCACGCAAGUGUGAAACUCAAAGGAAUUGACGGGGGCCCGCACAAGCGGUGGAGUAUGUGGUUUAAUUCGAUGCAACGCGAAGAACCUUACCAGGGUUUGACAUCCUGCGAAUCCCUUGGAAACGAGGGAGUGCCUUCGGGAGCGCAGAGACAGGUGGUGCAUGGCUGUCGUCAGCUCGUGUCGUGAGAUGUUGGGUUAAGUCCCGCAACGAGCGCAACCCACGUCUUUAGUUGCCAGCAUUCAGUUGGGCACUCUAGAGAGACCGCCGGUGAUAAACCGGAGGAAGGUGUGGAUGACGUCAAGUCAUCAUGCCCCUUACAUCCUGGGCUACACACGUACUACAAUGCUACGGACAAAGGGUUGCAAGCUCGCGAGAGUUAGCUAAUCCCAUAAACCGUGGCUCAGUUCAGAUCGUAGGCUGCAACUCGCCUACGUGAAGGAGGAAUCGCUAGUAAUCGCAGGUCAGCAUACUGCGGUGAAUACGUUCCCGGGCCUUGUACACACCGCCCGUCACACCAUGGAAGUUGGCCAUGCCCGAAGUCGUUACUCCAACC